UGGAAUGUAGCUCAACGGUAGAGCAGCCCGCUGUUAACGGGUCGAUGGAGGUUCGAUUCCUCCCACUCCAGCCA
rnacentral:tRNA from 1 species